UGAACGUUCAGUGGGCGGAAGCCUUGGAAGUGAGCGAUGUUGUUAUGAUGUUGACGAGGGAUCCCACAUGUGAUGGCUAUUUAAGACUGGCUACCUUCUCGAAGAUCUCCACAUUUUGGCAGAAGACGCCAAGGCGAAAGGACACUAACUGAACACAAGAAAUUAAGACCAGUUCAGAUUCAACCGAAAACUAAAAAAUGGCGAGUAAAUUACUGCUAUGUAUGGCUCUGUUGAUGGCGGUGUUUGUCCUGUCUGUAGAAUGUCGGCAAAAAGCAGGAAUUGUACAAGCCGAUGGAUACCGCCCAAGACCAGGAAAGAAACAAUACGAUGGACAAGAAGAAGACUAUGAAGAUUUACCACCCGGCCCUCUACCCCGACCAGGCAGAAAACGCCUUUUUCAAGAGAAUUACUGAAUGAUUAACACAGAGAGAAGACAGAUUAUCGGCAAAGGGAAAGCCUCUGUUUCUAGCUAGUUUCAUCCUGACUUUCAAUCAAUUCCAUAACCAUGUAAUGUUAAAUUCAACAAUAAUGCUUUAACAUCACCAGCUUGCUUGUACAUUUAAUUUCAACAUAUGAAAUAGAAAAAUCUCAAAUUAUACUUAGAAAAUAAUAAAGAAUACAGUUUGAAACUAUU